UUCUUUUUCUUUGCAGUACAGAGGAUGGAACCCAAGGCAUCAAGCAUGCGAGGGAAGAGCUCUACUACUGAUCUACAUGCCCAGACCUUUUAAAAUUGUUUUGAAACAGGAUCUCACUAAACUGCCCAGACUGACUUCGAAUUUUGGAAUCCUCCUGCCUCAACUCUUGAGUAGCUGGGAUUACAUGCAGGUGCCACCACACCUGGCUCCUUCUUUGUUUUCUUUUGUUUUAAAUUUUGUUUGUUUUGUUACUGGGGAUGUUAUAGUCUAGGGGUGUUGGGUUCCUUGUCUUCAUUCAGCAAAGAAUUGAAGAACACAAAGACAGCAAGCAAACUGCAGGUUUAUUGCAAAAGUGACAGACUUCUCCUAAGAGAAGGGGUCCUUGAGCAGGGAGUUCAGUGGGAAGUUUUGGUUUAUUCUUUUUAUGGUUAUCUUCCUUUUCUUGUCUCCUCCCCUGUCCAUGCUCUCCCCACUAUCAAUUAUUGUUACCAUCGGGGUCCAAGUCUAUUUUAUUUUUUUUAUUGGAUCCUCCACUUAGGACUAUGAGUACGGAAGUGUCUGUCAGAUUGGGUCUCUCCACUGUGCCCAGUAGUGCUUUCUCCCAGCAGAAAGUUGACCACAUCAGAAGACCCAUUCCAUGUUCCUUUGUUCUGCUCUACUCAAUCCCCACCUUGCCCUGACUUGUCCUUUUACAUUUCCCUCAGUGAUUGCCCCCAGAGAUAUUUAACUACUGAGUUAACAGCACCAGCCCUUUUUAUUUUUUAUUUUGAGACAGGGUCUUGAUAAGUUGAUUAGGGUCCCAUUAAAUUGCAGGGUGCAGGCCUCAAACUUGUGAUCCUCCUGCCUCAGACUCCCAAGUUGCUGGAAUUACAGCUGUGUGCCACUGUGCCCAGCUUCUUAUUUGUCUGUUUUUGUACCAGAUUGAACCCAGAGGUGCCUAACCACUGAGCCACAUCCUGAGCCCAUUUUAUUUUUAUUUUGGGAGACAGGGUCUUGUUAAAUUGCUCAAGGCCUUGCUAAAUUGCUGAGGCUGACCUUGAAUUUAAGAUCCUCCUGCCUCAGCCUCCUGAACUGCUGGGAUUACAAGCCUGUGCCACUGAGUUUUCUUUCUUGGUUUUGAGGACCUUAAAAGUUUUUGAGGAAUCCUGAUCAAGUAUUUUGAAGAAUGUUUCUCUCUCUGUCUCUGUCUUUUUCCUAGAAUAUGUCUUAAUUAGAAUUUGUUGUUUUCCUG
rnacentral:lncRNA from 1 species